UUGUCCAUCUUCUUCAUUAGGCCGAAAUUUCAAGGGUUCUCCAUAGCUGGGGUUUGUUUCAAGCUUCCAAGCUCCAUAUUUUGGACAAGCCAGCUCAGGAGUCGGGAUAGGUCGAAGGCUCAGUCACACUAUCCGGAAGACUUUUGGUAAAUGGCUUGUAAAUUUAAGUAUGGCAUGUAUAGCAAUAUACCUAUUUUGUGUAAAUGAUCUUAUGGUAUGGUUGUGGAAUGGUUGAGGAAAUGCUUGAUCAUGAUAAAUUAUGAAAAUGGUUAGUGUA